UUUUUCUGCGGUCACAGGCUCAUGGCAUUUCCUAUUAUAAAUAGUUGAUGAGAUUAGAACGAUAUUAUUCAAUUCCAAUUCAAAUUCCACAAUUGCAAUGGAGUUCAAAUACCCAUCAUUUCUAUUAUUUUUCUCUUUGUUCUUACCUUUGAUGAUUUUGUUGAUUCUUAUCAAAAAGAAAAACAACAAAAGAUUGCCACCAGGACCGACAAAGCUUCCUAUCAUUGGGAAUCUCCAUAACUUAAUUUUUGCAGGUGACGAUCAUCUUCCUCGUGUGUUUGGAGAGCUCGCAAAGAAGCAUGGCACGUUUAUGCAUUUAAAAUUCGGUCAAAUCUCUCAAGUUGUCGUCUCUUCAUCCGAUCUUGCAAAAGAGUUUCUUAAAACCCAUGACAUCAACUUUGCAACUCGACCAGAUAAAUUCACGUCCAGACUUAUCUUUUACAAUAAUCGUGAUGUUGCGUUAGCGCCAUACGGCGAAUACUGGAGACAGAUGAAAAAAAUCGUUACUCUCGAGCUUCUCAGUGCGAAAAAGGUGAAGUUUUUUGACAGGUUAAGGAGAGACGAAGUGGGCAAAAUGAUCAACAUUCUCACCAAAGCUGCAACUAAUGGCACAUCGGUUAAUCUAAGUGAAAUGUUUCUUGUUUUUAACAACAACAUUUCCACUCGUUCUAUAUUUGGUGACAACAUUCGACAUCAGAAAGAAUUUCUGAAUGCUAUGAAGGUAGUAGUUGUUCUUGCAACUAGUUCCAAUUUUAGCAAUUUCUUUCCUCUUAUGGAAAAUUUCAUCGCCUGGUUGACUGGUAUGAAGCUUAAGACAGAAAAGACGCACAAGACAAUCGACAAUAUAUUAAAUACAAUCAUUGAUGAACAUCUUGGUAAAAAAAAUAACGACAAUUCGAUGGAAGAUGGCGAAGAAGAUUUCUUAGAUAUUCUUCUCAAACUUCAGAAGGAAAAUCAAUUUGGUUUUGAAUUUAGCAUAAAUGAUUUGAAAGCCGUAUUAUUGGUAAAAAACAAUUUUUUCCUUUUAAUAUCCAAAUUAAUUUUGGAAAUAUUAAUAAGAACUCUACUAAUGAUUAUUCAAUUGUUAUUUACAGGACUUAUUCCCCGGAGGAACGGAGACAACAUCCACAACGCUAGAGUGGGUAAUGUCUGAGUUGGUGAAAAAUCCUACCACUUUGAAGAAAGUGACAUCAGAGGUCAGACAAAAAAUUUCGAUAACUGAUGCAAAAACAGAUGAUUGCGAUAAUAAUUUUAGCAACGAGAUGGGUUACAUGCAAAAUGUUAUCAAAGAAACCUUUCGACUCCAUCCACCAGUACCGCUUCUUCUUCCUCAUGAAUCUAGAGAGAAAUGUCAAAUAAAAGGUUACGAUAUAGAAGAGAAGACAAGCGUCAUUGUAAAUGUUUGGGCAAUUGGAAGAGAUCCUAACAAAUGGAAAGAUUCAGAAAUAUUCAAACCAGAAAGGUUUAUUGGAAAUCCAAUCAAUUUCAAAGGAUCACAUUUUGAUUUAAUUCCAUUUGGUUCUGGGCGGAGAAUAUGUCCUGGUAUGACAUUUGGUCUGGCUAAUGUGGAACUUUCGCUUGCUACCCUUUUAUACAAUUUCGAUUGGAAAAUACCAAAUGAUGUUCCUGGAAAAGAUCUUGAUAUGGCUGAAAGUCUUAGAGGGACUCUUGGUAGAAAAAACCCACUCAUAUUGGUACCUGUAUUUCCUACUACUUAAUAAGUUAUUAUAGUAGAGUAAUUUUCAGGUGAGUCCAAAAAACAAUCAAGAUAAAUGAGCGUUUUUGGGCUCACGUUAGAUAGACUUUCUUGAACUUUCUUCUAUUAAAGUAUUAUAUCUAUUUGAAAUAUUUUGAAAAUCUCUUUAUGAGAAGUUUAACUCCAUUGCAGACUGCACGUCUUAAUUAUCAUUUCUGAAUAGUGUCUUAGAAAAAUAUUGUCUCUUCCGUACUCCAUUCGUAACCCGAUCCGUUCUCAUCCUUAUUGAAAUUUCAAAAGGAUCGAGUCUCACACGAGAUUCAGAUCCUGUCCAGUUAAAUAUCGGGUAUCCGGUUAUCGGAUCCAUGGGCAAAAUGGAUUUUAAAUGAUAAUCUAGUUUCUAUGCUAUUAUUUAAUAAAAAAGAAAUCUGUAAAGGUUUAUAUGCAAAAUGGCAGCCCACACAGGCCCAUUAAUACACGCAACUUGGAAGAAAACCCUUGGUCCGUUGCUAUAUAUGUAGUUAGUUGUUGCUUGCUUGUCCUUACUCUGGUUCUUUCUUCAGCGGCUCUUAUUUCUGUAUAUCUCAAUUCGUUUUUUUAUUAGUUAGAUCUAAUCUAUAGUUUUUGUUGUUGUUUAUUCCUGUGAUUUGCAUCCGUUCUAAAUACGAAUGUUCUCCUCAAAUCUGUUUCGUAUUUUUUUAUUUGGGGCGGAUUUGAAUGAUGCAUAGAUCUACGGUUUGAUUUAUCAACACAUUGUGAUAUCUUAAUUUGCAAUGCUGUCAAACGCUCAAUCUAUAUUCUUUCUUUGUUUGAUGAUGAUUAUUUUUACGAUGCAAUAUUUUAGUUCUGAUUAUUCGAUUUUGAUCUUUUUUUUUUAAUGUUUUAGAUGAUUUAUCGUUUGCUUUCGAUUGUCUGAUAUCUUUCUGUUCUAUCAAUUGCUUCUAAAUUUGAAUUUGCAAUACUAACAAAUACUGGAUCUUUAUUUCUUCUUGUAAUUCGAGCUUUGAUCAUUUAAUCCUUGCGAUUAAUUUCGUUUGUUCAUAUUUUUGAUUGAUUUUGAUAUUACACAACCUCCAAAAUAGGAGCUUAAUUAGAUUUAAACUUAAAAUGAUUCAUUAACAUUUAAAUAAUUACUAGAUUUAGAUAUUAUAAUUAGAGGUGAGCGACGACGGGAUCUUUAGAGUGUCAAACAACCCAAACUUUUGCUUAUAGAGGUAGUCUCGUGCUUGCUCGUUAAGAAAUUAUUCAGGCUCAAUCUUGGGCUUGCCGAGCUUGGUUUGGCUGAGCUCGGUCUCGGCUCGUUUUAAGAAUUGUUAGGCUCUGGUUCGAAUUAAAAAUAAUAAUUAUUUUUAGACAUUAAGGAUUGAACCUAUGACCUUUCAAAUACUGAACAAAAAUUUCACCAACCUACACCAUUAUUCUUUCUAACUAUUAUAUUUUUUUAAUUUUCCAUACUUCUUACCGUGGCUAUUGAGCUUAACGAUCCGAGCUUGACAUAUCCAAGCUUGAACUUGGCUCGUUAAGCUAAACAAGCUUGAAGAUUGGGCUCGUCUUGUUGGGUUUGCGAGCCUAAGCUUAAACGAGUCGGGCUUUUUUUGACACUUUAGCGAUCCUUGGUCAAAAAUCAGGGAGUCUCAAAGUCGUUCAUUGACCAUGGACGGGGAUCCUUGGUAGUAAUAUAUUUUUUUUUUAAACAAUAAUGUACUAAAUACUAAUGUUAUUACUUAAUACUUAUUAUUUACCAAAGUAAUUUAUUUAAAGUUAUGAAAUAAGAGUAUAAAAUAUUAUAAUUUAUAAUAAGAAUAUAAUAUUCCAAGUUUACAAUGUAGAAUAAAAAAGAUAUAAUAAAAUAUUGGAGAAAGAAGACAAAAAUGUAAUGGAAUCCUAGAGAAAAAAAAAUUGAAUGGAGAUAAAACUGUCAAAAAAAAAAAAAAAAAACAAAAAACAAAAAAAACAAAUGUAGUAUGAUAAAACUUCAUAUAGGCAAACAGCUUGCCUUACGGUUAAGAAGAAGUAGGAAUAAGAAAAAGAUGACGGUGAACUUGAUAAAAACUGUUCAGGAGACGUCGACGACAGCAAUGUGAUACCUUCCCAGAGUUUGGAAGGUUUCUGUCCACCGGAGAGGCUGAUCGGCGCUAGGGUUUUCCGUCCAAUCGCGUUUGGGGAAAACCGGAAUUAACUACCGGACGAAUUUUGUAAAAGAGAGAAAAAAGGGGGUGAAAAGGAAAAAUGUAAUUUUAGUUAAUCUUUUUUUAUAUUGAUUAACUCGUAAAAACAUUGAGUAAUCUUAAUUCUUAAUCACGUUUUAUUUAUACUAAUUACAAGACUGUUAACAGCUAAAACAAAUAACUAAUUUAACUCUAAUUUAUUUGGGCUGGAUCUUGAUUCGAGUCCGUUUGUGAUCCAAUCCGAUUAGCUGUAACAAUUCUGCACAAGUACACAAAAUUAUUAGUAAUGUCAAUCAGGUCUAUUUGACCAGAUUUAUUUUGUGUUAUUUGCAUAACAGUCCUCAAGUUAAUUAUAACUGAAUAAUUGAAACUUUUACGCUUCGAUCCUUGUAUUUCUGAAUCUUAGUUAUAUUACAAAAACCUUUAGUUUCUUUUAAUUACGCUUAGGUCCAACUAACGUUUAUUGAAACUUUUAUAAAUGAAACCUUGUUAUUUUAUAACAAAACAGUUAAUUCUGUUUUGUCAUAACCCUUAGGUUAUUUAUAUUACAUUUAAAUCCUAAGCUUGUUUCUAUGGUAAAUUGCUUAUUUACCCUGUAUUUCAGUUAUAUUCUUAUAGAACUACGGUAAGAAUAAAAACAACUAUUGCUAACUGCUAAGAACAAUGGUCCGGUGGCUACUUGGAGUUGAAGAUUAGGUACAAAAAUGCAGGUACCGGAUACGAAGAAUCUCGCCCCUAAAUAUAAUGACUGAGAAUUAAAUUUAUAAUCGGUCCAUUAGUUAAAUUUAAAUUAAUUUAUCUAUUUUCUGGUCAAACAAUUAUGGUUUCGUUUUAUAAUUAAAUUUUAUUUUUUACCCAUAUGUUGUUGAGAUUCAAUCUUGGCUCAUUGCUUAAGGUCUUAUUUCUUGGUUUGUUUUAUAAAUAAAAGUUUUGGAUUCUUAUCAGAAUUUUAUACCAACCAUCGAUUUCGCUGUACAUUUGUCAAAUUAAGUUUUUUUUUUAAUUCGUUAUUCGUUUAUAAGGCUAAGAUUAAUUUUUUUUGACAAAACUGGUUUAUUGAUAAUUGACCACUGAAUUAUUGAAUCGACAUUCUUAAUUGGCUUAUUAAUAUGCGGUAGGUGGUGAAAACUACGGUUGAUUUCAAUCACAUUAAUCUAAUCAGAUUAAAUUGACUCGAGUCUACUUAUUCUAGAUUCUCUUCGGUAGAAUAAACAUGAUAAACACUGAUGUCACAUGUGAAUGUGAUGUGAUGUCACUGAUGUCACAUUUAAAUCUUCUGAAUAUAAGACAUGUUUAUUUAAAUGUCAGAAUUUGACAAAUGUUAUUAUAGUUGAUUUAAUCAUGGCAUUUCCUAUUAUAAAUAGUUGAUGAGAUUAUAACCAUAUUAUUUAAUUCCAAUUCAAAUUCCACAAUUGCAAUGGAGUUCAAAUGCCCAUCAUUUCUAUUAUUUUUCUCUUUGUUUUUACCUUUGAUGAUUUUGAUGAUUUUGUUGAUUCUUAUCAAAAAGAAAAACAACAAAAGAUUGCCGCCAGGACCGACGAAGCUUCCUAUCAUUGGGAAUCUCCAUAACCUAAUUUUUGCAGGUGACGAUCAUCUUCCACGUAUGUUUGGGGAGCUCGCAAAGAAGCAUGGCACGUUUAUGCAUUUAAAAUUCGGUCAAAUCUCUCAAGUUGUCGUCUCUUCAUCCGAUCUUGCAAAAGAGUUUCUUAAGACUCAUGACAUCAACUUUUCUUCUCGACAAGAUAUAUUCACAUCUAGACUUCUCAUGUACAACAAUCGUGAUGUUGUAUUUGCACCUUAUGGUGAAUACUGGAGACAGAUGAGAAAAAUCGUCACUCUCGAACUUCUCAGUGCGAAAAAGGUGAAGUCUUUUAACAGGUUAAGGAGAGAGGAAAUGGUCAAAAUGAUGGAUAUUCUCACCAAAGCUGCAAGGAAUGGCACAUCGGUCAAUUUAAGUGAAAUGUUUCUUAUUCUCAACAACAACAUCUCCACUCGUUCUAUGUUUGGUGACAACCUUAGACAUCAGACGGUAUUUCUGGAUGCUAUGAAGGAAGUAGUUGUUCUUGCUACUAGUUCCAAUUUUAGCAAUUUCUUUCCUCUUUUGGAAAAUUUCUCUGGUUGGUUGACAGGUAUGAAACUUAAGGUAGAGAAGACGCACAAGAUAAUCGACAAAAUACUUAAUACAAUCAUUGAUGAACAUCUUGGUAAAAUAAAUAACGACAAUUCGAUGGAAGAUGGCGAAGAAGAUUUUUUAGAUAUUCUUCUCAAACUUCAGAAGGAAAAUCAAUUUGGUUUUGAAUUUAGUAUGAAUGAUUUGAAGGCGGUGUUUUUGGUAAAAAAAAAGAAUAUUUUUCUUUAUUAAUAUCCAAGAAAAUAUUAAUAAGAACUCUACUAACGAUUAUUCCAUUGCUAUUUUGCAGGACUUGUUUAUUGGAGGAACAGAGACAACAUCCACAACGCUAGAGUGGAUAAUCUCCGAGUUGGUUAAAAAUCCUACCACUUUGAAGAAAGUGACAUCAGAGGUCAGACAAAAAUUUUCGAUAACUGAUUCAAAAACAGAUGACUAUGAUAAUAAUUUUAGCAAAGAGAUGGGUUAUAUGCAAAAUGUUAUCAAAGAAAGCUUUCGACUCCAUCCACCAUCACCGCUUCUUAUUCCUCAUGAAUCUAGAGAGAAAUGUCAAAUAAAAGGUUACGAUAUAGAAGAGAAGACAAGCGUCAUAGUAAAUGUUUGGGCGAUAGGAAGAGAUCCUAACAAAUGGAAAGAUCCAGAAAUAUUCAAACCAGAGAGGUUUAUUGGAAAUCCAAUUGAUUUCAAAGGAUCACAUUUUGAUUUAAUUCCAUUUGGUUCUGGGCGGAGAAUAUGUCCUGGUAUGACAUUUGGUCUUGCUAAUGUGGAACUUUCGCUUGCUACCCUCUUAUACCAUUUCGAUUGGAAAAUACCAAAUGAUCUUCCUGGAAAAGAUCUUGAUAUGGCUGAAGGUUUUAGAGGGACUCUUGGUAGAAAAAAUCCACUCAUAUUGGUACCUGUAUUUCCUACUACUUAAUAUAGUAUUUUGUAAGUUCUUAUAGUAAGGCAAUUUUCAUGUUAGUCAAAAAUGUCCUGAUCAUUCUGAUCAUCCAUUGUUUCAUCUUCAUAUUUUCUAUUACAAACAGUUGUGAGAAUAAAUGAUAUUUGUAAAAUUUUAGACGGUCAAAAUAAACAAGUGUUUUUGAGCUCACAUUAUAUAAACUUUCCUGAACUUUUUAUUAUUAUAAUAUUAUGUCUAUUAGAAAUAUUUUAAAAAUCCCUUUAUGAUGAGAAGUUGAACUUCAUUGCAGUUAUCUCUGCUAGUCAUAAUUAUCAUUUCCUAACAGAGUCUUAAGAAAAAAUUAUCUUGUCCGUACUUUAUUCAUGAUCCGAUCCGUUCUCACCCUUAUUGAAAUUUCAGAAGGAUCGGGUCUUACAUGAGAUGCAGAUCCUGUCCAGCAAAUAUCGGGUAUCCGGUUAUGAUGAGAAUGUUCUGUGAGAACUAUUUGAGAACCAUUGAAUUGUCUGUGAUCAUUUUGUAAUCAUUCAUUGGUGAAGUACUAUUUUACAUCAUUCAAUGACAUAACUGCAACACUACGUACUAAGAACUUCGAACAGACGGGAGGAUACCGUCUGUCCAAAAUUCCUCCGGUGUUUUACUCUCUUCAUUGGCCAUCUAUAUGCCUCUUACCAACAUUCGAAACCAAUUCUAUCCCUACCUCUGUCUUCCUCUCUACCUUUUUAGUCUUCACCGGUCUUUUAUUUUCAAAACUUUUUUUAUCCCUUCCUCCGAAUCCGGCGAUGUCGAAUGCUAGCGGCGCUCGUGAUGGGAAGGUCCGAGCCAGAGCAAAGUCAUCCCCGUUGAGAUUAGACGCGACGGCGUCUCUAUUUUUAUAGGUUCACUUUGGGCAUCUUUUUCUUCUUCUUCCUCUGAUCCUCUUCCGUGUUGGCUUCUCAAAUAAGAAGUUGUUUUUCUAGAUUAUGCUUGUUCUUCCAUGUUGGGUUGUGAAAUAUUUUGCACUCCAUGUUGGGUUUGUAAUCUUUUUUCUUCCUCUAUUUCUCCCAUUCUCACCCUCUGUAAUUUCUGACUGCCAUGGAUCGUAGUUUUUUUUCUUUUAUUUCUUCUUCCUCUUCCGUGUUGGGUUCCUUAAUAAAAAAGUUGAGCUUCUAGAUUUUUCUCUUUCUACCAUGUAUGUUUCAUUGUCGAACAAUUAGAUGUCGGUUUUGGGUUGUGUAAUAUUUUUUCUUCCUCUAUUUCUCCCAUUCUUUUUUUUGUCCAGAUUAACUCCGGUUCUGUUCUGCUAUUGCCGGCCUCAGCAUUACCGGAGUUGGCAUCACUUAUGGAAGAACCUCCGCUGGAAUUGGAUCGAUGUUCAUCUGUUAAGAAGAAAACUUGAUGUCUCGUGCUUCGAUCACCGUUGUUUUCUUCCAAUGCGAAGAAUCUGUUGACUGCGGAGGUUGUUCCGUCUCUUCAUAUUAUUGCAUUUUCUCUAUGAAAUGGGCUAUGAAAUUUUAUUUUAUUUUCUCUUUAAUUUUAUUUUAUUUUAUUUUAUUUUUUCUUUGAUUUUAUUUUCAAUUAUCAAUAUUGGAUAACAAAAUAAAUUAGGUGCGCAUUUUCUGAGAGUGCGAAGGCAUUCCAGCCUUUGAUUUUACCGUAAGAAAUUUGCGUCACACAUUUUUUUUGCAACCUUAUGGGUUGCGUCAGUUUGCAACCCACGUUGUGUUGUUUUAUUUUUUUUAAAUUUUUUUUUGUUCUUUUCUUUCUUCCACCUACCUUCUAUUCUUUUUAUUUUAUUUUUUCUCUUUGUUUUUUUUUCUGACCAUCUUGUCAUCAUUAAAUGUUUUUAACAUCCAUCAUCCAUCUUCUCCUCCAUUUAUGUCUCCAUCGUCCUUGUCUUCAUUUUUUUUUUGAUGGUGUUAAUAUCCUAGUAAUGUAAUGCUACAUGUUUUAUCGUUAAUGCUGAAAAUUCGAAAAUAUUUCAAAUCGUUUUAUUUUCUUAUCUUACAUCUUCUAUCAUUUUAUUCUUUACUCAUCUUCAACCUUCUUUCCAUCUCAAGUUCUUCACAGAGCACUAUAUCUUCAUCUCAUUUUCUCCCUUCAAUCUUGGAUACGGUUUUCGGUCUUCUUCUUCUUUGGUUAUAUUUAUUUAUAACAUCAAAGUAUGUUUCAAAAUUCAUUAAAUGUUAUUGAUCAAUCAUCACCUUUACAACAACCUAACAUUGAGCCCCAAAGCACCAUUCAUUUCUCUCAUAAUUCCUCCUCUAUAUAUAUAUAUCACACCUCCCUCAUAUCGUCCCCUUCAUGCCCAACCAUUGAUUCCACCACACAUCGUCCUAGACAUCAGUAUAAUGUUAAUCUUGAUUUUUACUCUAUCCAAACCGAAAAACCAUCUGAUUGUAAUCGUAAUGAAACUCAUGGAAAUGUUCAAUGUUCAAGAAUCAUUGAUUUCCCACUUAUUCCUAAUGCUAAUUAUGUUUCUCAUCAAUACCAUGACACUCUAUUAAACAAGCUGUAUACUCCUAUUUCUUCAGAGAAUAAUGAUGUCACUGGACUAUCUAAUCCUAUUAAUUCUACCGACAAUGCUUCUCCUAGUUUUUUCGUUCCCAAACAACCCAUUGAUACCAAUUCUUCUUCAGACAAUUUUAAAGUGAAUUCAACACCCUUUUCUGGUCAAAUUUUUUCCUCAUAUUCUGAUGCUAUUGAUCAAUAUUAUGGUUAUGCGUCGAAAAUGGGUUUCUCCGUUCGUUUGGGUUCCACGAACUAUAAAUCUAGUAAGGAUGAUGGUAAAAAAAAUUUAGUUAUAGGCCAAGAUAUCAUUACUGCUUGUAACCUACCUACUAAUGCUAUUAGUACUAGGUCAUGUUGUAAAUGAACGAACGAGACGCUUCUACGACUGGUCGUAAUGCUAUUAUGUGUGUGCUCAAUGAACAUAGGUCAAGAUAUCCUUACUGCUUCUAACCUACCUACUAAUGUUAUUACUACUUGGUAAUGUUGCAAAUGAACGACUGAGAUGUUUCUACGACUGUUUGUAAUGCUAUUAUGUGUGUGCUCAAUGAACAUAGGUCAAGAUAUCCUUACUACUUGUCACCUACUUACUAAUGCUAUUACUACUUGAUAAUAUUGUAAAUGAACGAACAAGAUGCUACUACGAAUGGCCGUAAUGCUAUUAUAUCUGUGUUCAAUGAACAUAGGCCAAGAUAUUCUUACUACUGCUUGUAACCUACCUUCUAAUGCUAUUAUUACUUGAUUAUUUGUAAAUAACGAAGGAGAUGCUUCUACGACUGUUUUGGUGAGACAUGCCUGAUUACACCAGUCACUACCCAUCAACGCCUCUCAACAAGGACUAGGGCUCCGUCGCUAUGGCAGGACCCCCGGAGAGCUCCCACGGUGCGGAACAUCGUUCUUCGUCCAGAUCGCCGAGUUAGCCCGUAAGUCGCCCGAUUGGACUACCAAGUCGCCGACAUACAGGAUAACUCGCCGAGUUAAGGCAAGAUCGGCAGUAUGGUAGACUGUACGACUUGGCCCUAGAAACUCGCCGAGUUAGCCCUUAACUAGGCGACUUCCAUACCUGAAUCGGCGACUUACGACCGUUACUCGGCGGCAGCCAACGUCAUAAAUGUUACCAUAUAUGACCAUAGGCGCGAUCUCCGCCGAUGAGUGCGCCCUCCGAGACCCUAUAAAAGGGGUCUCAAGGGGACACUCAAAGGCACGAUUCAAGUUCCACUCUCACACCAGAGCACUACACUACGAAACUCGGCGAGUCUCAUUAGAAUCGCCUAGUUUCACUUGCAGGUAUUUUGACGUAGAGCGUGCGUCGUGGACUCCAAAGCCUCCAGCAUCAACCUCGCACCACCGCGAACCCUGGUAGCAGAUUCAGUGCUUCAUCAGCUAGCGCCGUCUGUGGGACUACCGAACCACCGGUAUCCUGUCGUAAUCGUGAUUUUUUAAAAAUCCGGCUCGAGCUCUCCCGAGAGUUCGCCGAGUUUGUCAAAAAAUCGCCGACAUAGAUCGUCCGAUUCUCGGUUAACGUCCGAUUUAGCCUUAAAUCGCCGACUUAUCCUUGAGAAUCGCCCGAUCCGGAAUAUCGUCUGCUAGCUAAGAGUGCUGUCCAUGACCUUGUUCGGAAAACACCUAACUUGCCGAGUUAACACUUAACUCGCCGACUUAGCUCCCGUUUUUUCAACAGGCUCGGUCAGGUACCUCUCUGCUUUGGUACUUCUUUGCUUCCGCUUUCAUGGCAAUCAUCGAAAAGCAGAAGCACCCUUACGCAACAAGGAGUAAGGGAAAAAUGUCAGCAACUGAGCUGGAACAGGGUGAGCAAUCCCCAACUAAGAGACCCAAUGCUCAACCUGUGGAAACAAACUCGGUUCCUCCUCCUGUCGAGGAACAUAUUGUGCCCAAGGCUCCACCCACCUUGGAGGAAAGGUUGUUCAGCUUCAUGGACAACAUCGAAAGAAGGAUGACCAACCUCGAGCAAGCGAGGAAUCAUAGGACCACCACCAUCAGUGAAAGAGCGGAUGAGUCUGGGUCCAUCUAUUCUCCAUCUGGGGAGAAAAAACAGAGUUCCCGUCCCAAGACGAGACCCAGUAAGAGUCGCUCCGAGAGGACUCUUACUACUCGGUUCGUAGAGGAUCUUCGGCGGAAGUUGGCCACCGACCCAGCCGUCGGCAACCUGCACGAAGUCCUAAGGGUUAAAAGUGCUCCUCUUAGCGAGGACCUUUUAAAGGGAGUUUUCCCACCCAACUGGUGGGUACCAAGAAUCGAGGCGUACGACGGUUCAAGUGAUCCAGAAGAUCACGUGAACCUCUACCUCAACAUCUUGGAACCGCAAACCAUCGAUGAUGGGCUGCUGUGUCGGGCAUUCCCUGGCACUCUCAAGGGCAGCGCUUAUCGAUGGUUCUCUGGUCUGCCAGCUGGCUCAGUCACCAGCUUUGCAGACCUCUCAUCCAAAUUCAUCGCCCAGCACGUGGGGAUGAUAAGGAUAAAACAUAGUGCCAACGCACUCCUGGCACUGAGACAGGACAAAAUGUCUCUGAGGGAUUACACGGUCAAGUUCACCACUAUGAUGACAGAGGUGAACAACCUAAUCCCGAGUGUGGCCAUAGUGGGAUAUAUUAGAGGAUUAGUCCCCUACUCCCCUCUGGCCCAAAAUCUGACUCUCUACAAGGUGAGUUCUCUGCCCGACCUCUUCCAACGCGCUCAAUUGUACAUUGAGGUGGAAGAGGAGGAUGAGAACAAGCUAGCUGAACAUGGGACUCCUAGCUAUAAAAAGCCUAAGUAUGAGAGGAAGGGGUAUAGCGGAAACAACAAUUUCCGCGACACCUCUAACAGGUAUACCAGUAACAAGGCCGAGCCUUCCAAAAAAGAAUGGAAGCCUAGGCAUGAUAACAAGGUAUACCAGACCUCAACCAGCAAACCGUCUAAGGGUGCAAUUCCACUAUGGAAAAAGAACACCCCGCUUAUAAUAAGCAAGGGCGAGCUGUUUGAGAAACUAAAGGGUCGAGCGGACCUACCUGUCCCUCGCUCUUUAGACCCUACAGGCAAAGAGGGCCGCAUGCAAUCUGGGAAAUACUGUGAAUUUCACAAAGACUGCGGCCACUUAACAGACCACUGUAGGGAGUUCUCGACUUUCGUCGAGCAGCUGAUCUCUAAGAGUGAACUUGGCAACUUCGUCAAGAAAUCCCGAGGAAGGGACAACUGCAAAUCUGACCCAAAGGGGAAGCUUCCACGCACUCCUUCGCCAGAUAGCGACAACAGCGAGAACCGCCAGCGGAAGACCAUCAAUAUGAUAUUUGGUGGUGGAUCCGUUGGCCAGAAUAGGGGGUACUCCCGAAAGGUGCUGAUGUCACAAUCAACACCUCGAGACAACGGAAAGCGGGUCCGCGAGGAGAAGUCAAUAUACUUCUUCGAAGAGGACCUGGACGAUGUCUUGCAGCCUCACGAGGAUCCACUCGUGAUCCAAGCAGACAUCGGGCCUAAUUCCCGAGUCGAGAGGAUGAUUGUCGAUAGCGCAGCUCUGCGGAUAUCCUCUACAUGGAUACUUUUACCAAGAUGGGCCUUAAAAGGGAGGAACUAUCUCCCUGUAAGGAAGCCAUCUACGGUUUCACUAACAUCGCCGCCCCAGUUGCCGGUGUUAUUGACCUAAAGGUAUCCAUCGGUUCCAAGCGAGGAAGGGUUAGCCGAACAUGCCGCUUCAUAGUAGUAGAGGUAGAAUCUACUUUCCAUGGUAUUUUCGGACGCCCCUUCAUCCACGGAAUCCAAGCAGUCCCGUCUUCUUAUCACCAGUGCAUUCAAUACCCAGUAAACGGGUUCGUUGCAACUGUCAAAGGAUCACAAAAAGAUUCUAGACAAGGGUAUAAGAAGGCAACCCAGCUGACUAAACUCGACAACAUGCUCGUCCACGCCCCGCCUAACACUGAGGAGAGGGAAAAACUACAACCUGUGGACGAGACCGAGGUAUACCAGCUGGUGGGGGGACAUGUGGCACUAGGGAAGGGGUUACCCCCUAACCUAAAAGCCAAGCUUGUGACUGUCCUGGAGGAGCACCAGGACAGCUUCGUUUGGGAGGGUGAGGCACCGACACAGAUUGCGCGUCAGAUCGUGACGCACAAACUAAAUGUCGACUCAUCCAUUCCAGCUCGACGCCAAAAACGUCGAGUACUCACUUCUGACAGGCGGGAGGCAGCCAAUGAGGAAAUAUCGAAACUCUUGAAUGCAGGGCACAUUCGGGAAGUUCGAUACCCGACUUGGUUGGCCAACCCCGUUCUGGUCAAGAAUCCCAAUAGCAAAUGGCGCAUGUGCAUUGAUUUCACGGAUCUCAAUAAAGCAUGCCCCAAGNNNNNNNNNNNNNNNNNNNNNNNNNNNNNNNNNNNNNNNNNNNNNNNNNNNNNNNNNNNNNNNNNNNNNNNNNNNNNNNNNNNNNNNNNNNNNNNNNNNNNNNNNNNNNNNNNNNNNNNNNNNNNNNNNNNNNNNNNNNNNNNNNNNNNNNNNNNNNNNNNNNNNNNNNNNNNNNNNNNNNNNNNNNNNNNNNNNNNNNNNNNNNNNNNNNNNNNNNNNNNNNNNNNNNNNNNNNNNNNNNNNNNNNNNNNNNNNNNNNNNNNNNNNNNNNNNNNNNNNNNNNNNNNNNNNNNNNNNNNNNNNNNNNNNNNNNNNNNNNNNNNNNNNNNNNNNNNNNNNNNNNNNNNNNNNNNNNNNNNNNNNNNNNNNNNNNNNNNNNNNNNNNNNNNNNNNNNNNNNNNNNNNNNNNNNNNNNNNNNNNNNNNNNNNNNNNNNNNNNNNNNNNNNNNNNNNNNNNNNNNNNNNNNNNNNNNNNNNNNNNNNNNNNNNNNNNNNNNNNNNNNNNNNNNNNNNNNNNNNNNNNNNNNNNNNNNNNNNNNNNNNNNNNNNNNNNNNNNNNNNNNNNNNNNNNNNNNNNNNNNNNNNNNNNNNNNNNNNNNNNNNNNNNNNNNNNNNNNNNNNNNNNNNNNNNNNNNNNNNNNNNNNNNNNNNNNNNNNNNNNNNNNNNNNNNNNNNNNNNNNNNNNNNNNNNNNNNNNNNNNNNNNNNNNNNNNNNNNNNNNNNNNNNNNNNNNNNNNNNNNNNNNNNNNNNNNNNNNNNNNNNNNNNNNNNNNNNNNNNNNNNNNNNNNNNNNNNNNNNNNNNNNNNNNNNNNNNNNNNNNNNNNNNNNNNNNNNNNNNNNNNNNNNNNNNNNNNNNNNNNNNNNNNNNNNNNNNNNNNNNNNNNNNNNNNNNNNNNNNNNNNNNNNNNNNNNNNNNNNNNNNNNNNNNNNNNNNNNNNNNNNNNNNNNNNNNNNNNNNNNNNNNNNNNNNNNNNNNNNNNNNNNNNNNNNNNNNNNNNNNNNNNNNNNNNNNNNNNNNNNNNNNNNNNNNNNNNNNNNNNNNNNNNNNNNNNNNNNNNNNNNNNNNNNNNNNNNNNNNNNNNNNNNNNNNNNNNNNNNNNNNNNNNNNNNNNNNNNNNNNNNNNNNNNNGUAAAAAUCCAUAGCCCGGAUGGAAAAAACUACGAACACUCGGUCCGACUUCACUUCCCGGCUUCUAACAACGUCGCGGAAUAUGAAGCGGCCAUACAUGGCCUGAAGCUGCUAAGAACUCUCGGCGCUGAGAAUGUCACGCUCCGCACUGACUCCCAGCUCGUGGCUCGGCAAACCACUGGUUAAUUUGCUUGUAAGGAACCACAAAUAACAAAGUAUGUGGAAGCAAUGGUAGAUCUCACCAAACAAUUCGCCGAGUUCAAAAUCGAGCAAAUCCUUCGAAUUCAAAAUUUACCCGCUGACGCUUUAGCACGUCUAGCGUCAGCUUGGGAGGGAGGACAGCGCGAGAUUUUAGUGGACUCUAUACUGCAGCCCACAUGCCAAGUAUUGGCUGUCACUUCCGACCCUCAAGAGGAUUGGAGGCAACCAAUACUGGCGUUCAUCCAGAAUGGAGUGCUUCCUAACAACAAAGGGGAGGCCAAAAAAUUAAAACACAGAGCAGCAAAAUACUGUGAUGUCGGAGGGGUACUUUACAAAAAGUCCUUCGAUAGUCCUUUGCUACGCUGUUUGGCCCAACCCGAUACUAGUAGGGUUCUCCAGGAAGUACAUGAAGGCUCAUGCGGACUCCAUGAAGGGGGAAGAGCAUUAGCCUUCAAAAUCAUAAGGCUCGGGUACUAUUGGCCCACCUUAAGGUUGGAAGCUCGCACUUACGUCCGCAAGUGCCGAGCAUGUCAGCUGCACAGCCCUAUGCAGCAGAAACCAUCCGCGGAAAUGACUCCGAUCCUGAGCUCAAUCCCAUUCGCAAGAUGGGGGUUGGACAUCGUAGGGCCAUUCCCCCCCUCUACAUCACAGGCUCGAUUCAUCUUUGUAGCAGUAGACUACUUUACAAAAUGGGUCGAGGCUCAGGCUGUGGCGAAAAUCACUCAGGAUGCGGCAGUCAAAUUUAUUUAUCGCUCCAUAGUCUGUCGAUUCGGCAUUCCCCAAGACAUUGUCACGGACAAUGGCUCACAGUUCACGGGGGGAAAAUUUUCAAGAAUGUGCGAGGACCUAAACAUAAAGCUCCACUUCGCCUCCGUUUACCGACCUCAGGCAAACGGGCAAGUGGAGGUCACCAACAAGGCCAUCGUACAAGGAUUGAAAAAGAAAAUUGAAUCAGCCAAAGGGGCCUGGGCGGACAAGUUGUGCGAAAUCCUAUGGGCAUAUCGCACAACGAGUAAAAACCCCACGGGCAACACCCCUUUUGCCAUGACCUAUGGAGUGGAAGUAGUCGUACCAAUCAAGAUGAGUAUACCAACGUAUCGAGUCUCGAAGUACGACCAACAAGUAAAUGACCAAAACCUAGCCGCAGAGCUAGAGCUAAGGGAUGAAACCCGUGACGAGGCAGACCUGCGAAACGAAUCGUACAAGGCUAGCGUAUCAAGAUACCACAACCGCCAAGUACGCAAAAAAGUUUUCCUGCCAGGAACUCUCGUCACGCGGAAGGCUAGCAUAACAGAAAGGAAUAGGCCAAGAAAUAAACUAUCUUCCAACUUCGAAGGUCCCUACAUCGUUGAGGAGGAGAUAAGGCCAGGAACUUAUCGUCUACGACGGCAGGAUGGAACAAUGGUUCCUAACACCUGGCAUGCGGACAACAUGCAGCAGUACUACGCAUAGUACUCACAAGCAUCAAGUUUAUUUUCUUUAGCUUUCCUAGUAUGUAUGUUAGUUAGUGAUAAAAUAUAGUUACGCAUUCUAACCCGUAUGGAUACCCUAAAUCUAUUGUGUCGCUUUGGCCUCAAUAGAAUAAAGAUCAUUCCGUCGCUACGGCCCUAAUGAUCCUAUCCAAUCCUGUCGCUAAAGAGCCUUGAUAUGGAUCAAUAAGUCGCUAAAGAGCCUUGAUAUGGAUCAAUAAGUCACUCCCUCACUAGGAGUCGGACUAAAUCGUCAAAGGUUCAAAUCCAGGGUUAGAACAAAUAGGUCCAACUCAGACACGCGUUGCGACCACAAUUCUUAUUCGCACGAGCGAAUCAAGAACUAGUGGACAUCAAACCACUUUCUCCUAUCGAACUUAGCUACGAUUCAUACGACCAAACUUACGUCCUAAGUGGCUAAGAAUCUAACUUACGUCCAAAAGCGACUAAGUUACGAUUUGGGAAGUCAAGUUUUUCCAAACUCACGUCCUAAGUGACUAAAAUUCUAACUUACGUCCAAAAGCGACUAAGUUACGAUUUGAGAAUCUAGUUUAAGUUCAACUAAACCUACGUCCUAAGUGGCUAAGUAAAGUUGAAGGAAUCUAACUUACGUCCAAAAGCGACUAAGUUACGAUUUAUGAUUUUAGUUUAGAUCCAACUACGAUUCGCACGACUAAACCUAUGUCCUAAGAAUCUAAAUUACGUCGAAAGCAACUAAGUUACGAUUUAUGAAUCUAGUUAACUCUAAAAACACAUUAGCAAAAAAGGUGAUUUCAUUAACACAAAAGAUGAAAUUACAUAAUCCACUACAAAAUUUUAAGAAGAGAAACUAGUUCUAUCCUAAUCCUCUUCUUUCCUCGCGUUACGAACAUCGCUCUUGAUCUUAUCUAAAGCUUCCUUGUGCUCUAGCUGCACUUCGGGAUGUUCCUCCAGCCACGCCAUAAUAUCUGAAAUGUAGUUGGCAGGCAGAGUGGUAAAAACAUGAGGUCCGAAAAAGUUCACGUCUUGGAGUUGAUCGGAUUGACCAUCAACUUCGAACUCCAAGUUCUUCACUUUUUCGGAAGAAGCGUCCAGAGCUUCCUUCAUCUUCUUCAACUUCUCCGUGGAUCGAGAGAAGCGAUCUUCCAAAUCUAUACGAGCGGAAGCGGAAUCAGACAGUUCAACUUUCAAUUUCUGAAUCUCAGUUUCAGAAAUCAUUGCAUUCCCCACUUCCACAUCAAGCUGCGUCUUCAGUGCAUCAACUUGUUUUCUAGCAGCAGUGAGAAGCGACUCAUUAUCUUUCAUAAAGUCACAGCUUCGGCGAAGAUCAGAAAUCUCAGAUCGGUGCACAUCGCACUCUUUGUUCUUCGCCGCCAUCGCUUUCUCGUGCUCGGCAGCUUGUUCCUCCAACUUCUUAUUCCGUUGGAGGGUCUUUCUCAACGACCACACCUCUUUGCAGACAGCUUGAUACUUGUCAUCAAGCUUAUUGUACUCCUGUUGGGAACGGAGGGUGUCGUUUGCAGACUGCAUCCCAAUAGUUGCAUUAGACAGAUACGCGACCUACAAAAAAACUAUCAAUUAGUAAAAUAAAAUGAAACAAAUAUAAAUGGAAAGCGAUUGCGAAUCACUUACAACAGAUAUAGCUUUUCCAAGCUCUUCGCGUAUCCAGUCCCCAGGCUUAGUCUGAAGCAGCUGGGCAGCCUUCCUCCGCACCCCUUCAUCGGCAAACAAGCCCGGAUAGUCAAAUGUGGUGCGAAAGGGGGCGGAUUCAGGUGCAGACCUCGAGCUAGAUCCAGUCUCGAAGGUACUGCGAGGGCCAGUCUCUUGGGCCUUCCUUUCUCUGAUCAGCUUGGCGCCGCGAAGUCUCACGGCCAAGUGUGGAAGCACCGCCUCUCGGUACAGAUGUGCACCCUUCUUCUUCUUGAUUGGAUUUCCAGAAGGGUCCUCUGACCGGUUGUAGCGUGUCACGUCAGAAAAUGUAAAGUCCUCUCGCUGACACAAAGCGAAAUGAACUCCUUGCCCACAUUCAAAAGAAGCGAGGGCAGAAGAGAUCUUCUUCACCCGCUUCAAUUCUGCCUUGCUUAGGGCGCAAGGAACGUCCAGGUGUACGCGGCGAGCGUUGGCCCACCUCUCACGGCUCCCGCAUACAAAUGUAGAUUCAACAAAAAAGAACUCACUCUUCCACUGGGGCCCAUAGUUAGUGGGGAGUUCAAUUAUCAGCUCUUGUCCGCUGAACCGCUUUGCUAGCCCCAACCGACCAGAUUCGGAAGCGGGCGCCUUCACAAACUUGAAAAACCAGAAGAAUAAGGGGCGGUCGCGGGUAUGUUCAGACUCCAACAGAUGUUGGAGAAUCCUCUCAGAUAUACAAAAAAAGCUGCCUGCAUCUGCGACAGCGACACCCCACCAUGCAGCAACACUUCGCUCAUCAGUGGAGGAAUGGGCAGCAUGGAGAAGUGUCUGAAGUAUAGACGGGGAAUGGCUUGGAAUCCGACGGGAGGCAGAUUCGCUGGCUGAUAUUGCGAUCCCCAGAAUCGCAGAUGCCCAGAUAUGCGAAUCCCGCGCAGAAUCUCACGGGCUUCAAGUGCUGAAGUUAUGGAGAAUGGAUGCGCAGUCUCGUUCUGAGGCACGAGAGGCGCAUUGACAGAAACUUCUGCGAAAGACCCCUCGUCAGUAUCACAGAGGGGUAACAUCCUGAUCUCACCACCCGGCAGAGCUUCACAGUGUGCGUAGCCGGUGUGGUUCUCAACUCCCUCGUAAAACGGGAGGUUUAUAUGAUCUCCGUCCUUAUCCAUUUCCAUAGGAGGAGGAGGAGUGUUCGAUCUGUCAUCGCAGCUUCGGCUCGGGCCGCGUACAAUUGGAAUGUCCUGAGUAUAGUCAAAGGGCUCAGGCACCCUUACAUCCUCCGCAGAGGGGAAGUGUAUCUUUCCUCGGCCACCCAUCCCAUAAAUGUGAUGAAUGGGGGCACUUGUACUGGCAGGCUUGUCGGAAGAAUCCCUAGCAUGCUUAGGGUGCUUCCUCUUUCUUUUCUUUGGCCUCUCAGAUUCAUCAUCCGGCCUAUCCACAUCCACCACCUCAACAGGUGGAAAGUCCUCAAUCUCAGCCCCCGAGUUUAGGGGCAACAUCGGCGAUUUAGGAGCUGAACUCGCCGAUGUUGGUAGGGAACUCGCCGAUCCGAGUUGAAUUACUCGGCGAGGUUUCCUAAACAUGGGGACGACCCCCUUGCCUUUGGCCGGCGACUUCCCAAGGGGACUCGCCGACUUAGCUGCAAGAGUCGGGGGGAUCUCACCCAGUUCAACAGUAGGCUCUACCACGAUAAGAGCCCUCGAGUUAUCCGUCAAACUCGCCGAGUUCUUUUGGGAACUCGGCGAGCCUUCCGGAGUUAGCCCGAGCAACUCGCGGGCAGUAGCCAAAAACCUGACGUCUUGCGGCGCGUCGACAACCGGAAUCUCCGACCCACCGCGCGAAGGCGAGGGAAUCGGAGACUCGACGGUGUCGAGCACCCCCGUCAGGCCUUCGUCUAUAUCCUCGUUCAAUAUGUCGACGACCAGAGCUUCGGUCUCUGACAUGGUAAGUCUAGGCAAUGACGGUUGGUCUGCCAUAUAUCGGCGAUAUAGGUGUAGACUCGGCGACUUUGGAAAGAGUUCUGGUGAUUGUAGUAAAAGUCGGCGAGUUAUGAAGAACCUCGGCGACUUAGAAAGGGAUUAGGGUUUAAGAAAAAUCAAGGUAAGUGGAGUGCGGAUUAAAAUAGCCGACUCUCUAUUUAUAGACCUUGGGCAAAUUGCAAAAAUUCCCCGGAGAAUCUACAAAUUACGCGAAGAAAAAUCGCUAAUUGAUCUCCAAAUCCGCAAACUCGGCGAGUCUCUCGAAAACUCGCCGAGUUUGAGCACAAAUCAAGGGAUACCAGGAGGAAAUUUCCAUACUUGGAAAAUUUGCAAAUAUUUCCCAAGAUCCUAAGGAUUCUCGAAGAGAUCCGCCAGCUCAUACUAAGACUCGCCGAGUUUAUAGGAAAAUCGCCGAUCCAGGUCAGCAAACCUCCAGACUUCUCAAAAAAUAUUACCAAUGCUAAGUCGGCGAGUUAGCACCUUAAGUCGCCUACUUAGGAUACAUACAGUAUCUUAGGGGGAAAAUCGCAAGCCCCCUUCCACAACCUCAGGGGGGAGUAUCACAAGCUCUCCCGACAUUUCUAUCGCUUUGGCUAGAGAUCGUCGAACUUCAGGGGGGAGUAUCACAAACUCUCCCGAUUUUUCUGUCGCUCCGGCCGGAAAUUGUCAAACCUCAGGGGGAGUAUCACAAACUCUCCUGACUUUUCUGUCGCUUCGGCCGGAAAUAGUCAAAAUUCGGGGGGGAGUAUCACAAGCUCUCCCGAUUUAGGGGGAAAAUCACAAGCCCCCUCCCACAACCUCAGGGGGGAGUAUCACAAACUCUCCCGACUUUUCUGUCGCUCCGGCCGGAAAUUGUCAAAAUUCAGGGGGGAGUAUCGCAAACUCUCCCGACUUUUCUGUCGCUCCGGCCGGAAAUUGUCAAACAUCAGGGGGGAGUAUCGCAAACUCUCCUGACUUUUCUGUCGCUUCGGCCGGAAAUAGUCAAAAUUCGGGGGGGAGUAUCACAAGCUCUCCCGACAUUUCUAUCGCUUUGGCUAGAGAUUGUCACCACUCAGGGGGGAGUAUCACAAGCUCUCCCGACACUUCUGUCGCUCUGGCCAGAAGUCGUUAUACAUAAACAUGGUCAGUCUGUCGCUUCGGCCAGAUUCACCAAGGAUUGGCUAAAGUAAGGAAAAGAGUAUCGCAAGAGGUAUUUUCGGUCAAUAAACAUAUGCGUUCUCAGACUGAUCUAGUUGUUUUGCAGGAUAUUUUCUUUUGUUAUUUUGCAGGUAAUAUUUUGUUUGGCCAGAAUAUUUUUUCUUUUUUGCAGGUAUUAUUCAGUCGCUUUGGCCAGAAUAAGACUCUAAUAGUGAGUCUAAGUAUCUUGUCGCAUUCUGCCUUGGUACACUAGAGAUCGUUCUGUCACUUUAGCCUUAACGAUUCUCAACCCAUCUUGUCGCUGAAAAGCCUUGAAGGGGGCCGUCGUUGCGGAUUUUAAGUCGCUCUUGAUCAGAGUGGACUCUAAACAUUAGUUCUAUCACUCCGGCUAGAACUUGGUUCUAUCGCUCUGGCAAGAACCCGAUUAUGUCGCUGAAUAGCCUUAAUCGAUUCCGUCGCUUUGGCCGGAAUUUAUCUUGUCGCUUCGGACUCGAUAACACAGUGCAGUCGCCUCUGAUCAGGGAAGGACUAUAAACAUGAGUUACCGUGGCCUGGAACUCGAUCCAUUUCUAGUCUCUUUGGCCUGUGGAUUCUGAAUCAUUACGUCACUCUGGGCGGAUGAUUCGAUCUCAUCUUGUCGCUUUUGCCUUGGUGCUGGAUCAAAAAACUUUGAACCUUGAUUGACAGGGGGGGGGGGUACUGGUGAUACACCAUGUUUCUUGUGCUCUCUUCAGGGGGGAGUACUGGUGAGACAUGCUUGAUUACACCAGUCACUACCCAUCAACGCUUCUCAUCAAGGACUAGGGCUCCGUCGCUAUGGCAGGACCCCCGGAGAGCUCCCACGGUGCGGAACAUCGUUCUUCGUCCAGAUCGCCGAGUUAGCCCGUAAGUCGCCCGAUUGGACUACCAAGUAGCCGACAUACAGGAUAACUCGCCGAGUUAAGGCAAGAUCGGUAGUAUGGUAGACUGUACGUCUUGGCCCUAGAAACUCGCCGAGUUAGCCCUUAACUAGGCGACUUCCAUACCUGAAUCGGCGACUUACGACCGUUACUCGGCGGCAGCCAACAUCAUAAAUGUUACCAUAUAUGACCAUAGGCGCGAUCUCCGCCGAUGAGUGCGCCCUCCGAGACCCUAUAAAAGGGGUCUCAAGGGAACACUCAAAGGCACGAUUCAAGUUCCACUCUCACACCAGAGCACUACACUAUGAAACUCAGCGAGUCUCAUUAGAAUCGCCUAGUUUCACUUGCAGGUAUUUUGACGUAGAGCGUGCGUCGUUGACUCCAAAGCCUCCGGCCCUCCUCGCAACCCCGCGAGCCCACUGGUAGCAGAUUUCGUGCUUUAUCAGCUGGCGCCGUCUGUGCGACUAUCGAACUAUGAUAUCCCGUCGUAAUCGCGAAAUUUUCUUCGCAAAGUUCGGUUCGAUUCCCUUCCGGUAAAUCGCUGACUUUGUGUCAAGGAAUCGUCGAUUCAUACAGGCAAUCGCCGACUUUACCUAGUGAGUCGCCGAUUCCGAGUUAUUCUGCUAGUUAAGAGUGUUGUCCACGGCUUGGUUCAAAAAAGGCCAUAAGUUGAAUCGUCGAUUCCACACAGGGAGUCGUCGAUUCCUUUAACUUUUUUGACCAAGUGUUGUCAAUGCCUUUUGCUCUGGAACAUUCACUUUCACAUAGGUUGGAUUUUUCAUAAAAAAUCAUGUAUCCUCAUGUGAAUCGACGAUUCCCACCUGAAUCGACGAUUCCCACACUGAGUAGGUGAUUCCCACACUUGAAUUGUCGAUUCGGUCAUCGUCUUCAUUCAUCGCUUUGGCUGAAUAAGACCACUCAUAGCCCAGCUCUUUGACCGAAACGAAAAUCCAUCACUUUGGCUGGAUUCGCAUCGUCGUUUCGGUAAAAAAAAGAAGAGUAUGUGGCUUUUCCCCUUUUUUCACUUCCAGUGAUUCUGUCGGUCCACCUCUGGAAGUCCCAUAUCCGAUUUUGGGAUUCUGAGACCACUCAUCACGUGAAAAAAGUUUUCUCUACGAGUACAAAAAAGCAGAAUUUCCCAACAGUGCAAGGAAUCUUUUCUGAGAGAGGUCUAAACAGGCACCCCAAAAACCACCUCUGGCGGCACGAUUUCUGCAGAAAAAUCGCAAAAAAUUUGCGAUUUUUUUUAUUAUUUCAAACUUUGGGGAUUAGUAGUACUGCUCAAGGGGGUCACAAAACUACAUAGAAAUAUUAUACAAAAAAUUUUCUGUUUUGUGACACCCGGGGGGCAGGUACCUACCCAUAGCCUUCGAUACUUCGGAAGAACUUCCACUCGUAGUCUGUUGCUUCGACCCAAUAGAAGCAACCAUCCCAUUUAUGGCUCCUUUUACUAAAGAUCAUAAAAAGAAAGCUCCCGCUAUUGUUACUGAAGUAGGAGCUUCUGGUAGGAGGGUUGGUUCCCGUAUUAUACCAACCUUCAAUGCACCACUGUCGGCACAUGAGGUGCCCUCAUCACUCUCAUCAAAUGGGGGAGUGAACCUAACUCCUGCGCUACAAGAGAGGUUGAUUAACUUUAUAGAUUCCAUAGAAAAAAGAGUUAGCAACCUCGAGAAAAGCGAGGGGCAACAAGACCAUCAUCCGCGAAGGAGCGGGUGAAUCUGGGUCUUACUAUUGUCCAUCUGCGGAAAAAAAGAGGAAAUCUCCAGUGCCUCCUAAAGCAAAGGUUGGACCUAGCAAGAGUCGCACUGACAAGACUCUUACAACAUGGUUCGUGGAAGACCUCCGUUGGAAGCUGCCCAACGAUCCAGUCGCCAGCAGUCCGAUCGAGUUUUUGAGAAUCAAAAGCGCUCCUUUUCACAAGGACCUUUUGAAAGAAUCUUUUCCACCAACCUGGCGGGUACCCAGGAUAGAAGCGUACGACGGUUCGAGUGAUCCAAAAGAUCACAUCAACCUCUACCUUAGUGUCUUGGAACCGCAGACCACCGAUAACGGACUAUUGUGUUGGGCAUUCCCCGACACUCUCAAAGGCAGCGCUUAUCGGUGGUUUUCUGGUCUGCCAGCUGGCUCGGUCUCCAGCUUCGCGGACCUCUCUUCGAAGUUCAUCGCCCAAUAUGUGGGGAUGAUCAGAAUAAAACACAGUACCAACGCACUAUUGGCACUACGACAGAAUAAGCUGUCUCUGAGGGAUUACAUGAUUAAGUUCACUUCGAUGAUGACAGAAGUGAACGACCUAAUCCCGAGUCUGGCCAUAGCAGGGUACAUGAAUGGGCUAGUACCCUACUCUCCUUUGGCCCAGAGCCUUACGCUCCAUAAAGUGGAGACCCUGCCCGUCCUCUUCCAACGAGCUCAAUCGUUCAUUAAGAUAGAAGAGGUGAACAAUAACAAGCUGGACGGAGUCGAGCCACCCAGCCAGAAAAACCUCGCUAUGUUGAAGAAGAUACAUACGAGGAUACAAGUUCUCGGUCUGAAACCUCGACUAGUCCUCCUCGAUACAGAAAAGAGUUUCUCAUCAGCAGUUAUGACCACCAAAGUCAUAACUCAUACUCUCAGUCUGGUAACAGUUAUGACCACGAAAGCCAUAGCUCACACUCUCGGCCCAGUAACAGUUAUGAAAGCCAUAGCUCACAAUCCUAUGACAGUGAUGGCAACCAGAGCCACAGUUCACACUCGCAAUCAAGUGCAUCACGCUAGUAGUGAGGAACUAUCAUCUGUUAGAAGAUAGGAUUGGCCAAAGUAACCAUGCAGGCUAUGCUUCUGUCAGUGGCAACCAGCAACCAAAAACACGUUAAUUCUUUUGUUUGUCGCUUAUAUUAUUCUCAUAUAUUCUCAAUAGCGAUAUUAUUCUAAAUAAAUCUCUCUUCAAUCUAUAAAGAUACUAUGCAAUAUGUAUGCUUCAUAUCAGCGACCAUAUCAUAUUUAGAAUAAUCAUCCAUCGCUUCAGACGGAUCAAUCAUCCAUCGCUUCGGCUGGAUGGCGUUCGUCACUUCGACCUCAUAUAUCAUCCAUCGCUUUGGCUGGAUGAUACCCGUUGCUCAGACCUAUCUUACAACCCACGAGUCUAAGUUACUCUGUCGCUUCGGCCGAAACGAUAGAAUGCGUGGAUUCUGGCGGAAGCAACAAAAUGCGUGGAUUCUGGCCGAAGUGAAAAAAUGCAUGGAUUCACUAUCAGAAUCUAGUUCACUAUCAGAACUGAUGUUUAUAGCCCACCCUGAUCAAGAGCGACUUUACGUCCGCAACGACGGUUACCCCAUAGGACAAAGCGACAAGAUGAGUCGAGAUCAUUAAGGCCAAAGCAACGAAAUGAUCUCCAAGUUUAUCAAGGCCAAAGCGACGAGAUAGAAGAAUUAUUGAAGCCAAAGCGACAACAUAAUUCUUGGUCCAUUAAGGCCAAAGCGACAAAGUGGACCUGGAUCUAUUAAGGCCAAAGCGACAAAAUAGAUUGACUCACUAUCAGAGUCUGGUUCACUAUUAGAACCUUUCCUGCAAAAAAGAAAACAUCCUGCAAAACAACAAGAUCAGUCAAAAACACAUAUUUUAUUUACUUAUUGAACUUACCGUGCGAUUUUACCUUCCUUGAUGCCUCUACUUUGCUCAAAUUGAUCCUUGGUAAAUCUGACCGAAGCGACAGAUUUUACCAUGCUCAAGCUACUUUGACGACUUCUGGCCGGAGCGACAGAAGUGUCGGAAGAGUUUGUGAUGCUCCCCCCCGAAAUGUGACGACUUCUGACCGAAGCGACAGAAGCGUCGGGAGUACUUGUGAUACUCCCCCUCGAAAUGUGACGACUUCUGUCCGAAGUGACAGAAGUGUCGGAAGAAUUUGUGAUACUCCCCCUCGAAAUGUGAUGGCUUCUGUCCAAAGUGACAGAAGUGUCAGGAGAGCUUGCGAUACUCCCCCUCGAAAAUCGUGUCUUUGCGACACAUAACCUUUGGAAUGAGUGGUUUUUGAAGUACUUGAGUAUUCGAAAUUAAAAAAUAUUCGAAACUCGAGGGUUACCUUUGCAAUUUUGAACCCUGAUGCUGGAGAGAGCUUGUGAUACUCUUUCUUGAAAUGCGACGACUUCUGGCCGAAGUGACAGAAGUGUCGGGGAGAGCUUGUGAUACUCCCUCCUGAAAAUGUGAUGACUUCUGGCCGAAGCGACAGAAGCGUCGAAGAGAGCUUGCAAUACUCCCUCCUGAAGAUGUGUUGUUGUUUACCCUGAGUCGGCGAAUGGGUGCCCCAAUCGUCGACUCCUAAGUUUUGGGUAACUGUGAGGGUUGUUUUGAAAUUUUUCCAUUUGAGUCGACGACUCCCUCUGGGAAUCGUCGACUCCUGAUUGUAGAACGUAGGAUCUCUCAGAUGAUCCUUGGAUAACCUUUAUGGGUAGGUUAACACCUUAGAGUAUCAAAGAACUCUUAAAAACCUAAAAAUCUUUCAAGGUAGAUUCGACCUAAGAGUUUUCCCGGAAACUCUAUAAAACCAAACUUAGAGUUUUUUGGUUUAGUUCAAAAACCUUCUCUCGCACUUUGAUGAUCUUGAGACAAUCCUCUCAACCAAAGUGGACACACACAAGAGAUAAUUAGAGGAGUGAAAUAUUAAACAAACAACACUUCUUACUUGUAAAGAUGAACAAGAAGAUUAGAAGAAGUUGUAGAGCUUUUAAAGCUUUGGAAAGCUAAAACAGUACUUGAGAACUUUGGAAGCUUGGAAGCAAGAACACUUAUGAACUCAAAUGUGGAGUGAAAAACUCUUUUGAUUGCUUGUAGUGUGGUGAGUGAAAAUGAGGGGAAUACCCUUCUAUUUAUAGCCUUGGCCACUCGAUGUCCACCCUUGGAUCUUCAAUGAAUGACUCCUUGAUUUCUCACAUAAAUCCAAGCUUUGUCUUUCAAAUCUUAUCUUCAAUAGUGUUUUCUUAGAUAGUGUUUUGUUGGAAAAUCUUAUCUUUAAAUAAGUCCAACGUGAAUAGUGUUUUGUCCCUUUGAAAUAUUAUACCUUGAAUAAAAAGUCAAAGAUAAUAAUAAUAAUAAUAUUCAAGAUAAAGAUACAAUUAUUCCAAUUCCAAUUUUAACUUUGAAUUAAACCUUUGACUCAAAUGAUUAAAUAAUUAAUUGGAGUUAGGUUUAAUAUUGACUAAUUUCACCCUAUAGAUUAAAAGUGUAAUUAGGGUUUAAAUUAACAUAAUUAAAAUAUAAUCCUAUGUCGACAAUUUUGAUUAUACAUAGACUACACUGACACUUUUGCCACUGUGUCAAGGAUAACCACACUAAGGACACUAAUAGCAAUAGAUUCCCAAAACAAAUGGCAUAUACAUCAAAUGGAUGUACAAAAUACAUUCUUACAUGGAGAACUCAAUGAAGAAGUCUUCAGGAAAAUACCUCAAGGAUCGACUAAUAAUUGGAAAACAAAAAUCACAAAACAAAAACGUAGUAUGCAAACUGAAGAAAUCUUUAUAUAUAUAGUUUAAAGCAAGCCUCUAGGAUGUGGUUCCAAAAACUAAAUGAUGCUCUAAAAACAAUAGGCUUCAAACAAACUAGGUCAGACUAUGCACAUUUCAUCCAAGAAGAAGGAUAAUCUAAGACAAUAAUACUAGCAUAUGUUGAUGACAUACUUGUCAUAGGAAACAACCUAAAUAAGAUAAAGAAAACAAAAGAAGAAUUGGCAAAAAAAAUUAACAUUAAAAAUCUAGGUAAACUAAAAUUCUUCCUAGGAUUAGAAUUCACCACAUCACAAAAAGGAAUAUAUAUUGGACAGAGAAAAUAUGCUCUGAACCUCCUAAAAUCUACUGGAUAUCUUAAUUCAAAACCAUCCAACACAUCAGCAAGUAAACCACAAGAAACAGACAAAACCAAUGAAGAAAAAGAAUUAGAAGAUCCAACACAUUACAGAAGCAUUGUUGGAAAACUAGUAUAUCUAACUGUAUCCAGACCAGACAUAAUCUUUGUUGUAAAUUCAUUAAGCCAAAACAUGGUUAAACCCAAAGAGAAAGAUCUAAAUGCAGCACACAAAGUACCGAGAUAUAUAAAACAGUCACCUGGAUCAGCAAUACUCUUUUCUGCAUCAACAACUUCAGGACUAAGAGCAUUCUCUGACUCAGACUGGGCAUCAUGUCCAUCAACCAGAAGAUCCACCACAAGGUUCACCAUCUAUCUUGGAGACUGAUUUCCUGACAAACAAAGAAACAAUACACGGUUGCAAGGUCAUCAGCAGAGGCAGAAUAUCAGUCCCUAACAUACACUAGCUGCGAGAUAACAUGGAUAACAAACUUAUUGAAAGAAAUAGGGAUACACAAAAAUGGCUACAAAAUCCCAACCCUAUUCACAGACAGUGACUCGGCUGCAGCAAUAGCAAAGAACCCAGUACUUCAUCCACGAACAAAACACAUUGAGAUAGACAUCCACACAAUACGCGAUAAAAUCAUGGGAAAAGAUUUGCAAAUAAACAGAGUGGACACAAAGAUGAAUGUAGCAGAUAUCUCCACAAAACCAAUUGUUGGAACACUAUUCAAAACACUAACAUCACAACUGGGAUUGGAUAAAAUAUACUGAAGAAGAAACAAGGAAGAAGAUCAGGAAACAAACCUCUGCCUUCAACAACCACGACUCCACACCAGAAAACUUUAAAAAAGACACGAUUCAGAACCACACUGAAGGAACAUGCAAAAAGAGGGGAACAAAACCUAGAAGAAACACACCUCAGCCGCGACCUCCCGCCAAAAACCCUAAGAAAACCCAACAGUCCCAAUAACCUUUCAAAACCCCGACUGUUCAUAAUCUCACCUCGACUUUUAAAUAUAGGAAACUUUUUCAUAAAAACACCUGAAACUUACAAAACCAACCCAAAACCCAACAUUUUUCUUUUGGCCUGCUUUUGAGGGGGACUAUUAAGAUAAACACCUUACCAGUUCAUCUUUUUACCAAUAUACCCAAACACAUAGUUAAUACCACCUAAUCCAUCAUCAACCCAACUACCCUAAUUAAUACCUUUAUAGUCGUUAAUCCUCAACCAACACUACCAUAUUACUAACCUUUAGCGACGGUCAGAAUCCGUCGCUAAUUAUCAAAGGUCGUCGCUAAUUGAUGAUUAGUUACACCUAUAAAUACACCCUCACAACACAUGCAAUACAAGUAUAUAAGUUCUGGUCUACUUUAUCAUCUGGUUUGGAUUCAAAUCUCUGUCUCAAUCUCAAUCUGGUUUCCUGGUCUAUUGAAUCUGGAUCUUCGAAUCUGUCUUGGCAUUUCCGAUCUUCGUGACGCCAAUCUGUUCCGGCACUUCUCCGAUCGUCAAUCGUCAAUCUGUUCGAUCAUCAUCUUCUGUCAUCAUACUCGAUCAUCUAUAUUGUCUUUAUUUCUCAUAUCAAUAUCUGUUCUCAUUUCACUUCAAUCAUACAUAUUCUAUAUCUGUCAUCAUAUCUAAAUAUUACAAACAACAAUCAUUUAAUUAUAUAAGUUAUCAUAAGUUAUCAUAAAUAAAUCCAUGCUUGGAAUUCUAACAGUCCAUUAGUCAAAUUUAAAUUAAUUUAUCUAUUUUCUGGUCCAAUCUUGGCUCAUUGCUUAAGGUCUUAUUUCUUGGUUCGUUUUGCAAAUAAAAGUCUUGGAUUUUUAUGAGAAUUAUAUACCAACCAUCGAUUUCGCUGUACAUUUGUCAAAUUAAGUUUUUUUUUAAAUCGUUAUUCGUUUCUAAGGCUAAGAUUAAAUUUUUUUUUGACAAAACUGGUUUUAUGUCUAAGAAAAAUCCAAAAGGACUUUAAUAGUAAUAACUAAUUAAUAAUUGACCACUGAAUUAUUGAAUCGACAUUCUUAAUUGGCUUAUUAAUCACAUUAAUCUAAUCAGAUUAUUCUAGAUUCUCUUAGGUAGAAUAAACAUGAUUUUUUUUUUUGUAUUUUUUUCUUUUAAACUGUUCACUGAUGUCACAUGUGAAUGUGAUGUGUAGUAGGUAAUGAAAUUAGGAUUGUGAACUCAAUAUAUAUAAAAAUAUAAUUAUUUUAUAUAUAAUAUGUUAUAAUUUAUUAAAAAAAAUUAUUUUUUAAAUUGAGACGACUUGUUUAGGUUUCCAAUUGUUUCGAGAUCGGCAUACGGAUCGUCUGGUUCUCACUCAUAAAUAAAAUGAUGGUAGUAUGACAUUUAAACAAUAGAAUAAUCAAUAUAUUGAAUCUCACAUUAGUUAGUAGAGUAAGCAUUACAUUCUAGAUGUCAAAUUUGAAUCUCAGAAUUUGCCAAAUGUUAUUAUUGUUGAUUUAAUCAUUGCAUUUCCUAUUAUAAAUAGUUGAUGAGAUUAGAACGAUAUUAUUCAAUUCCAAUUCAAAUUCCACAAUUGCAAUCACUACAAAAAACCAGCGCAGUUCUGGCGCCCAUCUCCCGGCGGCCAGGCCGCCGGUAGAUACUUUCGUCGGCCUGGCCGCCGGAAUGUUACACUUGUCCGCCUGCAUAAUUUUCCCUCGUAAAUGAGAGAAAUUUUCUGACGGCCAGGCCGCCGGUAUACUAAAACCCUCAACGGUUGGGAGAAAAAUUCCCGGCGGCCUGGCCGCUGGUUACUUUUUCCCGCUUGUUUUUUUCAGUAGCCGGCCGGCGGCCUGGCCGCCAGGAUUUUUUGGAAACCCUAAAAUUACAACUUGCGCCGCCGUGGUCCCCGUACAGUCAAACUUAGUCAAACGAAACUUAAGUAUUUCCCGGCGGCCAGGCCGCCGGGAAAUUUUUAUAUAAGAAAAAAAUUUCCAGACUUUUCUCAUUUCUCCCAACGGUUUCCUCACUUCUCCAAACUCUCCCAAACUCUCCCAAACUUCUCCCAAGGUUUCGAAAGUUCUCCCCAAGUGCGUUUGUUUGAGCACUCCGGCCAUUCCUCCCCAAGGUAAUAAUCUCCCCUUCUUGAUCUUCAUCUUCAUGUUCUACUUCUUCAUCUUCAUCUUCUCCUUAUCUUAUUAUAUUUUAUAUUAUCUUUUUCUAUUCUUCUACAUUUUCUAUUUUGUUCUUCAUUUGAUGUAUGUUAUUUGAUUAAAUUAGGGGGUUAUGGUUGUAUGACAUUGGGGUUCAUGUAUUUGUGGGUUUAUGACAUUUAGGGUUUAUGUAUUUAUUAUUUGGGGGCUUAUAUAUGUAUUUGGGGGUUUGAUUUUAUGGUUAGAUGUUAGGUUGAUUUAUUGUAGUUAGAUUUUAGGGUUUGAUUUAGGUUUGAUUUAUUGAUGUUAGGUUUAUUAUUUAUUGGUUUUUAUUUAGUUUAUUUACUGAUGUUAUUUAGGGGGGUUUAUUUACUGUUUUUAGUUUAUUUUUAUCAUUUACUGAUUUUAGUUCAUUUAGAUUAGGGUUUUACUGUUUUUAUAAAUUAUAUUAAUUUUGUCUUUUGAUUUGUGAUUUUAAAUCAUACUUUCCAAUGAUUUGUCUUUUGAUUUAAAAAAAAAAAUCAUGCAUUGUGAAUUUGUAAUGGGAAUUUGUGAUGUGGGGUUAGUAAUUGUGAUUUACUCUUUUUAGGUGUUUUGAUAUUGGGGGUUUUAUUUAGGGGUUUUGAUAUUGGUGCUUUGAUUUAGUUUUGUUUAUUUUAGUUAAUUAUAGUUAGUUAAUUAAUUGACUUAUGUACUGUUUUGAUUAUAUUUGAUUUAGUUAGUUAGUUAAUUAUAUUUGAUUUAGUUAAUUGACUUUAUUUGUAAUAUAUGUACUGUUUUGAUUUUAAUUGUGAUUUUAAUAUAUUUAGUUGUGAUUUUAGGGUGUCGUACUCUAUGUGGAAAGAUUUUUUUUUUUUGCAAUCAAUGUAAUGGCUAGAAUCCGACUUAAAUGAAUGUAGUUUUGAUGAUGAUGAAUGUAGACAGAGUAUUUUUUUUUUUGAUGAUGAUGAAAGAGAGAUUUUUGGUUUUAGUUUGAUUAGGAUUUUUGGUUUUAUUUCAUUAGGAUUUUAAUCACUGAAUGUAGAUUUUAGUUUUUCUUUGAUUAGGAUUUAUGGUUGAUUAGGAUUUAAAAUGAUGUUUUGAUAUGUGCUUGAAAUUAGUAUGUGGAACAGAGGUGGGAUAUAUUUCGAUAUGUGAUUGAAAUUCCUUUUUAAUUUGUAGACAGAAUUAGGUAUUGAAAUUCCUUUUAAAGUUGUGCAUGUUUUGAUGGAAUUGACGUGAUAUUUGUGCAUGUUUUUAUGUAUGUAAUGGUUGCAAUCAGGAUGUAGUUUUUUUGUUUAGCAAAUCAAUUCCAUUAUAAUAUUAAUGUUAUGACAGCAUGUAAAAUCAAGUGUGGUACAUUGUUUUGAUGUAAAAAUGAAAAUGAAGUUGAUUUUAAUUUUCGUAUUCAUGCAAAUCGAUGUGGGACAAAAUGUAGGAUUUGCUUUGAAUAGGUAAGAGCAACAAAAUGAAGUUUUUUUGCUUUGAAUUGGAAUUUAUUUUUGCUUUGAAUAGGAUUUUUGGUUGAUUGGGAUUUAAAAUGAUGUUUGUAAAUGUUUUUUUGAUAUGUGAGGUAUGGAAAAAUGAAAUCAAGUUGUGCAUAUUUGGUUAAAUUAACGUGAUUUUUCUUUGAUGCUUCUAUAUAACUUGUAUUUACCAUUCUUAUUGUUCUGUACACUACACUAUGGUCUUCAAUAAUACGAUCCAAUUUUGGAAUUCCGAAAGUACAGCAGUUAUGCAUAGCACAUGAUCUGCCUGCCAAAAUGAUAUAUAGUUAAAUUUUGGAAUUCUGUUUCAUUUUAAUAUGAUAUAUGUACUGUUUGUAGUAUUUAUUGGUGUUUAUGUAGUGUUAAUUUAGUGACAUUUAAUUUCUAUGUUAAAUUUAUUUUAGUUUGAAGCCUUCUUCUAAUCCGGCCGGCCACUUUUCUCCGGUCAUUGUCGAAAUUAUCUUGAAGGUAUGGUUUACAUUAUGUUCAUCUUCUUCUCUUAUUUUUUUGUUGCUGGAAUUUUAAUUUAAGGAUUGUAGAUUGGAAUGCCAUAAAAUGAAAUGCAUGUUUAGAAAUGCCAUGUUUAGAAAUGCCAUGUUUAGAAAUGCUAUAUUGAAUAAUGUGAUUGUAAUUUUCUAUGUGAUUGUAAUGUUUAGAAAUACCAUGUUAGGGUUAGGGUUAGGAUUGUAAUGUUUAGAAAUGCCAUGUUAGGGUUAGGGUUAGGAUUGUAAUGUUUAGAAAUGCAAUGUUAGGGUUAGGGUUAGGAUUGUAAUUUUUUAUAAUUAAAUAAAUAAUUAUUUAAUUAAAUUUAAAUAAUUAUUUAAUUAAUUAAUAAUUUAAAAAAAGUAACAAUCAGAUUUUGUAUAAGUGUGAUUGUUAGUUAGUUUUUAAAUAAUUGUUGAAUAAUCAAUUAUUAAUUAUUAAUUAUUUAUUUAUUUAAUUAACUAAUAAUUAAUAAUUAAUUAAGAAAAUAUUAAAAAAUCCAUAAAUCAGUUUUUAUAUUAAGAACUUGAUUUAAAAUCCAAUGUUGAAAACAAUUAUUUAAAAAUUAAAAUCAUUUAUUUAAUUAAUAAUUAAAUAAAUAAUUAUAUAAUUAAAUUUAAAUAAUUAUUUAAUUAAUUAAUAAUUUAAAAAAAGUAACAAUCAGAUUUUGUAUNNNNNNNNNNNNNNNNNNNNNNNNNNNNNNNNNNNNNNNNNNNNNNNNNNNNNNNNNNNNNNNNNNNNNNNNNNNNNNNNNNNNNNNNNNNNNNNNNNNNACCAGCGGCCAGGCCGCCGGAAAAUUUUUUUUUGAAAAUUAUAUCCUGGCGGCCUGGCCGCCGGAAAAAUCGUAAUCCAAAAUUUUUUCCCGGCGGCUUGGCCGCCGGUAUUUCAACAUUCCGGCGACAACAACUCCGGCGAUGGAAUCUCGUCGGCUUGGCCGCCAGGAACCAUUAUACCGGCGGCCUGGCCGCCGAAAUUUGCCGCCAGAAAUACGCUGAUUUUUUGUAGUGAAUGGAGUUCAAAGGCCCAUCAUUUCUAUUUUUUUUCUCUUUGUUCUUACCUUUGAUGAUUUUGUUGAUUCUUAUCAAAAAGAAAAACAACAAAAGAUUGCCACCAGGACCGACAAAGCUUCCUAUCAUUGGGAAUCUCCAUAACUUGUUUUUUGCAGGUGACGAUCAUCUUCCUCGUGUGUUUGGGAAGCUCGCAAACAAGUAUGGCACGUUUAUGCAUUUAAAAUUAGGUCAAAUCUCUCAAGUUAUCGUCUCUUCAUCUGAUAUUGCAAAAGAGUUUCUUAAGACUCAUGACAUCAACUUUUCUUCUCGACAAGAUAUGUUCACGUCCAGACUUCUCUUUUGCAAUAAUCAUGAUGUUCUUUUUGCACCUUAUGGUGAAUACUGGAGACAGAUGAGAAAAAUCGUCACUCUCGAAGUUCUCAGUGCGAAAAAGGUGAAGUCUUUUAACAGGUUAAGGAGAGACGAAGUGGGCAAAAUGAUCGAUAUUCUCACCAAAGCUGCAAGUAAUAGCACGUCG
rnacentral:lncRNA from 1 species